rnacentral:rRNA from 1 species
AUUGAACGCUAGCGGCAUGCUUAACACAUGCAAGUCGAACGGUAACAGGUCUAGCUUGCUAGAUGCUGACGAGUGGCGGACGGGUGAGUAACGCGUAGGAAUCUGCCCUGUAGUGGAGGAUAACUUGGGGAAACUCAAGCUAAUACUGCAUAUGUCCUUCGGGAUAAAGCGUGGGACCUUCGGGCCACGUGCUAUGGGAUGAGCCUGCGUCAGAUUAGCUUGUUGGUGGGGUAAAGGCCUACCAAGGCGAUGAUCUGUAGCUGUUCUGAGAGGAAGAUCAGCCACACUGGGACUGAGACACGGCCCAGACUCCUACGGGAGGCAGCAGUGGGGAAUAUUGGACAAUGGGGGCAACCCUGAUCCAGCAAUGCCGCGUGUGUGAAGAAGGCCUGCGGGUUU